UUAAAGGACUAUGACAAUAGCUUGCUGCCUGGAAGGGACACAGAGAUGUCACUCAAGUGGAUGUUGAGACUACCAUGGCCGCCCUUGAGAGGAGCUUCUGUCAUGUUUUUGGAUAUCCCGGAACCUCACUCUGCCCAAGGAACAUCCUUCACUGCCUUAGCAGUAUAACAGUGGGUGCGUACUCACGAAAUAGGAUAGACUUUCCACGCGCGCUGUCACCUGCAGGCCAGCGGGGCUGCUGAAUGAUGGAACCAUUGCCCACAACGAAACCGAAGACAGGACAUCAAGAUGGCCUGCUAGCGGGGUGACACCAUCUGACUAGGGUAUUAUGGACCCUAAACUCUGUACUCCCGCACAAGGGAAGUGCCAAGACCAGCUCAGUCAGGGAGACCCUAACCCAGCGGCGCUAGAGGGAAGCGUGACACUGCAGGGCACAUUGAGAGACACUGGGCUUGUAAGGGUGACGGUGAUGGGGGGGCGGCAGGCAGCCACCUGAUUAGGCUGCACCUGUGAAAUCCCAAUCUCAACUAUGCAGCCAUAAAAAAUGAUGAGUUCAUGUCCUUUGUAGGGACAUGGAUGAAAUUGGAAACCAUCAUUCUCAGUAAACUAUCGCAAGAACAAAAAACCAAACACCGCAUAUUCUCACUCAUAGGUGGGAAUUGAACAAUGAGAUCACAUGGACACAGGAAGGGGAAUAUCACACUCUGGGGACUGUGGUGGGGUCGGGGGAGGGGGGAGGGAUAGCAUUGGGAGAUAUACCUAAUGCUAGAUGACACGUUAGUGGGUGCAGCGCACCAGCAUGGCACAUGUAUACAUAUGUAACUAACCUGCACAAUGUGCACAUGUACCCUAAAACUUAGAGUAUAAUAAGGAGGAAGAGGAGGAGGAGGAGGAGGAAGAGGAGGAGGAGGAGGAGGAGGAGGAGGAGAUCUGCCUUGGGUGAGAUCAGGCCAGGGCUGAACCUGUGAGAUUCAAAUUGGGGCUUCGUUGUUUGUGUACAUUCUUGUGAAGUCAUUUCUGGGACUUCGUCCCUCCCCACCUUGCUUGCUGUUGGAGCAUAACUUACAAUAUUGUUUCGUUUUUUUUUUUUUUUUUAGACGGAGUCUUGCUCUGUCGCCCAGGCUGGAGUGCAGUGGUGCAGUCUUGGCUCACUGCAAGCUCUGCCUCCUGGGGUAACUUCAUGCAGAGUAAAGAAAUACCACACCCAGGACUUUGCAGGUUGCUCAAGCAGAUGGCCACAUGGACCCUGGCUUCCUCAGAGCCUACUGUGACUAGAGCACAACCAGUACAAGUGACAAGAGACCCCUGAGGGCUCAGCGCAGGCUUUGAGAGGAAAGCGAUGCUUGAACUGGGGUGGGGAGAAUGAGUCAUGGCAAUACCCAGCAUGUAUGGACUGUGUGCCGGACAUGACUUUGGUCACGGGGUGAGGUGGCUCAGAUAGGAUUUGAACCCGAGCAGACAGACUCCUGGACCCACGCACCUCACCAAGUGUGGUUGGCUAGCGAGCCGAAAGAACCCUGGAGGCAGGGUGCUGAAGGAGGGGAGAGUGGUGUGAGGCUCAUGGUGAAACCCUGUCUCUACUAAAAAUACAAAAAUGAGCUGGGCAUGGUGGCAGGUGCCUGUAAUUCCAGCUACUCGGGAGGCUGAGGCAGGAGAACUGCUUGAAUCUGGGAGGCAGAGGUUGCAGUGAGCCGAGAUUGCACCACUCACUAAAAUGUUUACAGUGGUUAUCACUGAGAAAAAAUAUUAAAUGUUAAAGUUGAUUUUUACUAUCUUUUAUCUGCUUUUUUUUUUUUUUGCAUCUGCUCCUGUACCUAUGUGCAAUGAUCAUGUAUUACUUUUGCAAUCAGACAAAUACAUAAGCUCUACUUUAAAACUGUUUAUUUAUCUACCAGGUUAACGACAAAUACUGAAACUCAGUCUUGGCCUGAACCUGGUG
rnacentral:lncRNA from 10 species